CUGAUAAUUAUUAAAGGGCUGCAGUAUUUUGACUGUACAAAGGUAGCAUAAUCAUUAGUCUCUUAAUUGGUGACUUGUAUGAAAGAUUGGAUGAAAUAUAUACUGUCUCUGAUUUAUAUAAAGAAUUUAAUUUUUUAAUUAAAAAGUUAAAAUAAAUUUAAAAGACGAGAAGACCCUAUAGAGUUUUAUAUUUAAAUUUAUUGAAAUUAUAUUUAAUUUAAUAAUUAAAAUAAUUUAAAAUAUUUUAUUGGGGUGAUAAAAAAAUUAAAUUAACUUUUUUUAUUAUAAAUUUCAUCGAUAAGUGAGUAAAUGAUCCAAAAAUUUUGAUUAUAAGAAAAAAUUACCUUAGGGAUAACAGCGUAAUUUUUUUUAUUAGUUCAUAUAAUAAGAAGAGUUUGCGACCUCGAUGUUGGAUUAAGAUAAAAUUUAUAUGCAAAAGUAUAAAAUUUUGAUCUGUUCGAUC
rnacentral:rRNA from 1 species